rnacentral:lncRNA from 1 species
AGUGAGCAACUAAGAUUUCUUAUGGCCACCAGAAGUUCUCUAAGUGACCGAACAACCCUACGGAAGUUGCAGGUGGGCAUGGUGCAGAUUUGGUUUUCUGAAAUAAGGCAUGGGCAAUUAACAAAAAAAUCAUCGCAAAUGGCCAGAGAUAUGAAUGCAAACAUUUUAUAAUCACUUUCUUAAAGCAUGCAAACCAGUAAUAUAGGUAACAAACUGUGAGUUCAGUAAGAUUUUGGACACGAAAUGAAAGUGUUGUUCUGUGCUCGAGCACAUGUGCCCUCGAUAUCCUCCCCCUUUGUUCCUCUCGAGAUUGCCAACGCACACGGUAUAGGCCCAGGUAUAUAUCAGGUAUUUAUAUUAAUAAACAGGCCGAUGGCCCACGCCUCCACCACAGCGGCUCAGAAUUUGAUUGACGAGAUGGGCUGUGAGACACCAGAUUCUGGACUAACGCAGCUACCAAUUGUAUCCUGCAAGGUUCGUGUUCAUCCCGUCUCCCCCCUCCCUGCAAAACACUAACAUUCAUCAGCCACCCUUCUAUAAAAAAAUCCCAAAAAAAACAUUCAGCAGCCAUAUGCAGCGAAGGAGAAGAUCCAAACUAAGACGCUCCUGCCAGAACGUGAUGCAUAUAUGAUCAGAUGGAGCAUAAACACCGGAAGAUCCAGCUGAUCUCAAGCUCUGAUCCUAUAGCUUGGUUCAUGGUACUCUCAGAGCUACCUCGAACCUGAAAACAGAGGGACAACUAUUAUUUCAAGAUAGUCCAAACGUAGUCGACACAAGCAAUCAGAAACCUAUCUCUGCUGAUAGUACGCAUAGCUUGGAGUUCGCAUCAAACUCUGUUAUGGUCGAUCCAGAUCCAGAUAGCUUUGAAGGAGCCACGCCAAUUUGCUCCCCAGCAAUUGCUGGAGGUGAGACAAACUCCAGCGGCUACUCUGCUCCCGUUUAUGUAAGACAACAUCUGCUUCUCAUGCUCUAGUGUUUUGAAAUUCAAAUCAGAUGGAAACAUCGUGAGCGCACAACCUGCGGCAUGCUUACACUUACCAGCAAUGCAACCUCCUGAGUUACUGCCAUUAAAUAUUAUGCACCAAUGAACAAGCAACACUAGAGACACAAUCGUCCCCAACAGCCAGGAUGAAAAACUGAACCACAAUGGAUGCAUUUGCAUGUGUUAGAUGUGUAUAGUCUCUUUUCGGUAUAUCCCCAUUGUAUAAGGGGUUCCCUGCACUUUACCACACAUGUAUAUGUAAUGGCCUUUGGCCCUCAGUAAAGGGUUAGUUGCUCAUUAUCCAACAUGGUAUCAGAUGUUAGGUUCCCUUCUCUCCCGCACGCUGCAACUCCGUGCUAGCUUCUCUCCCGAUCCAGAUCUGUCCCGGUUGCCGCCCCUCGUCCCGCCCGAAGCCUGGAUUCGGCCUGGCUGCAGCUGCCGCUUGCUGGAUCGCCGCUGUUUCACAUCGGUCCGCCCCGUCCCGCCUAAAGCUGCUGGCCCGGCGCCGCUUCCCGCUGGUCUGCCUCAUCCCGCCCGCCGCCAGGCUCUUCUUCCUCCGGCCCGACGCCGCCUCCUGACCGGCUGGCUACUGCUGCUUCUUGCUCCACUUUGACUUCCUCGCCUCGGAUCCGGUCGGGGACUUCUUGUCCCGUGCUUGGCCGGCCCUCGCCUCGACCGCCCCUGCUUGAGCUCAAGCUUGCGCUCUUCCUCUCCUCUCUGGCUGGGGCUCGGGCUGGUUGACCCGGCAUAGUUGACGCUGACCCUCCCGCGAGCGAGCGCUUCCCCCAGCGAGCGAGCGGGUACUCGAUUCCCUGAUCUUGAUCGGGAUUUUCUGUUCCCGUUGACAAAAAAGGAGAGAAUCAGCAUGUCUUCGUCUGGCUAUGUGGCUGUUCCUUGGUGCUCGAUGAUCUUCGAUGGCACAAAUUAUGCUGAGUUUGUGGGAUUCAUGCGUAUCCAUAUGCGCGGGCUCCUCCUGUGGGGUGUUCUCUCUGGUGAGGUACCAUGUCCGCCCUGCCCUGUUGCUCCGGUGGCUCCUGUUCUGCCGGUACCACCGGUGCUUGCUACUGAUGCAGCCAAGGCUCUUGAUGAUGCUGCCGUUGAUGCCUAUGAUCAGCAGGUAUCCGCAUAUUCUGAUGCUCUCUUUGUCUACCGGGAUGAUCUGUCUACUUACACUCAGUGGUGCAAUAAUGAUGCUCGAGCUGCUGCUAUUCUCACUGUGAGUGUCCUCCCUCAGUUUGCUUCGGAGUUCAUGGGCCUUGGCACUGUUGCAGCAAUGUGGUCCUAUAUUUGUCACCGCUAUGAGCCCUCUGGCGAUGCUCUCUACCUCUCUGUGGUGCGUCAGGAGCAUGCUCUUCAGCAGAGUGACUCGUCUGUUGAUGAGUUCUAUUCACAGUGCUCUGCCAUCUGGCGUCAGCUUGACUCACUGUGGACAGUUGUUUGUGGCACUUGCUGUUGCUGUCAGACUACGCGGUCUGACUUGGAUUUUCAGCGGGUUCAUGAGUUCUUAUCUCGUCUCCACUCUGAGUUUGAGCCCAGGAGGUCUCACUUGCUUACUCGUGGUCGUGUUCCUCUCUCAGAGGUGCUUGCCGAGCUUUGUGCUAAGGAUACCCGCCUUCGCUCUGCUGGGUUGCUGGUGGUUUCGUCUGUGUUGGCUGCUCAGGCUCCUGUGUCGUCUGCUCGGCUCACCGCUCCUACCCACACCUUCAGGGGGUGGGUCGCCCUUCUUAUGCUGAGAGGGGCCGGUCACGCCGUGACACCUUCUGUGGCUACUGCUCUUGGCCAGGUCAUCCAGAGUCUGAUUGCCGUGAGAAGAAGCGAGACCAGAGGCGCUCCUCUUCCAGUGGGACUCCUGGAUCUUCCUCGACACCGUCACUCAUUGACCAGGACAUUGUGAGGCUCAAGCGUCUCUUGGCUUCCUCAGGCUCUUCAAUGACCGUUUCCGCUGCUGCGGUGAUUGCAUCCACUUCUCCACCACCGCAGGCAUCUACACAGUCAGGUACAUCUUUGUGGGUUCUGGAUUCUGGAGCCUCAUUUCAUAUGUCUUCUGAUUCUUCCGUGUUGUCUUCUCUCCAACCUCUUGAUUCGCCUGUUAAUGUUCUUACCGCUGAUGGUACACCUCUUCCUAUUGCUAGUCGUGGUCUUCUUUCCACUCCGUCUUUCUCUGUUCCUAGUGUUUCACAUGUUCCUUGUCUUACCAUGAAUCUUUUUUCCGCUGCCCAACUUACUGAUUCUGGUUGUCGUGCCAUUCUUGAUACCGACUCUUGCUCCAUUCAGGAUCGUCGCACCAAGGCUUUGGUUGGUGCUGGCCCCCGGUGCCGUGAGUCAGAGGGCCUUUGAGAGGUUGACUGGCUUUGUGUUCCUUCCGGUGCCACCACUUCUGCCAGCUCCCAUGCUCUUGUUGCCUCCUCGUUUGUGUCCUUCCAGCAGUGGCAUCAUCGCCUUGGUCAUAUUUGUGGCUCUUGCUUGUCUUCUUUAGUCCGUCAGGGCCUCUUAGGGUCUGUAUCCGGAGAUGUUUCUUUACAUUGUAAUGGUAGCAGACAUGGAAAACAGACCCAGUUACCUUAUCCUACCAGUGAGUUAGUGUCUCAGUGUCCUUUUGACUUAGUUCAUUCUGAUGUUUGGGGUCCUGCUCCCUUUGAUUCGAAAGGUGGACAUCGCUACUAUAUUUUGUUUAUUGAUGCUUUCUCUCGCUACACUUGGCUCUACUUCAUGAAAUCUCAUAGCGAGGUUCUCUCCAUAUACAAACGCUUUGCUGCCAUGGUUCACACCCAGUUUUCCAUGCCCAUUCAUACUUUUCGUGCUGACUCCGCUGGUGAGUUUAUCUCUCCGUUGUUGCGUGGUUUUCUUGUGGAAUAGGGUACUCUUGCCUAGUUCUCAUGUCCUAGUGCUCAUGCUCAGAAUGGUGUUGCCGAACGUAAGCAUUGUCACCUACUUGAGAGCCCGUGCGCUGAUGAUUGCCGCUUCCCUUCCACCGCACUUUUGGGCUGAGGCUGUUUCCGCAUCCACCUAUCUCAUCAACAUUCAGCCAUCGACUGCUCCGCAGGGUGGUAUUCCUAUGGAGUGUCUCACUAGUCGCUCUCCUGACUACUCAGCUCUCCGUAUGUUUGGAUGUGUGUGCUAUGUCCUUCUUGCACCGUGAGAAUGCACCAAACUGACUGCUCAGCCGGUUGAGUGUGUUUUCCUUGGCUACAGUGAUGAGCACAAGGGCUAUCGCUGUUGGGAUCCUCUUGGUCGGCGAUUGCGCAUCUCGCUUGAUGUGACUUUUGAUGAGUCUCGCUCUUACUACCCACGUCCUUCUUCCUCGAGCUUCUCUGUGGAUGAUAUUUCUUUUCUUCUUCUCCCCGAUACACCCCGCUAUGUGCCUCAUGUUUCACCUCUUCCUCCUGCACCUCUCUUUCCUUCUCCUUCACCACCGACACCAUCUUACCCAUCCUCCUCUACCACCCCUCCACCAUCAUCUCCAGUCCGUCGCCCUCUCUCACCGUUCCCUCUCCACUAUACUCGUCGCCCUCGUUCUGAGGAUGCUUCCUCUGACGCGCCUUCCACCUCCGGUGCCCCUCCUUUCACGCCUCCCCCGAUUCAUAACCUCCAUGCUCGGCCUCUCCCCUCGCCUGAUCGCUACUAUCCUGAUCGGUACGGUCUCUCUGUUCUUGCUGAGCCCACUUCCUAUCGGACUGCCAUGCCUCAGCCUGAAUGGCAACUUGCGAUGGCCAAAGAGCUUGCUGCCCUCGAGUGCUCAGGCACAUGGGAUUUGGUUCCCCUCCCUUCUGGUGUUCAUCCCAUCACCAACAAGUGGGUCUACAAGGUUAAGACACGUUCUGAUGGUUCUCUUGAGCGCUACAAGGAUCGUCUUGUGGCCCGCAGUUUUUAGCAGGAGCAGGGGCGCGAUUAUGAUGAGACCUUUGCUCCUGUGGCCCACAUGACCACUAUCCGCACUCUCCUUGCUGUGGCUUCUGUUCGUCAUUGGUCUAUCUCUCAGCUUGAUGUCCAGAACGCCUUUCUCAAUGGCGAGUUGCGUGAGGAGGUCUAUAUGCAGCCACUGUCAGGGUACUAUGCCCCUGAUGGUAUGGUCUGUCGACUUCGGCGCUCCCUCUAUGGGCGGUUUGAGCGCUUCGCCCCUGUGGUAACUACCGCUGGUUUCUUGCCCAGUGAUCAUGAUCCCGCGUUGUUUGUUCACACGUCUCCUCGUGGUCGCACUCUUCUCCUUCUCUAUGUUGAUGACAUGAUCAUCACUGGUGACGACUCUAAGUACAUUGCCUUUGUUAAGGCUCGCCUUCGUGACCAGUUCCUCGUGACUGAUCUUGGUCCACUUCGCUAUUUUCUUGGGAUUGAGAUCUCCUCGACCUCUGAUGGCUUCUACAUCUCCCAAGAAAAAUAUAUUCAGGAUCUUCUUGCUCGUGCUGCUCUCGGUGAUGACCGCACUGUUGUGACUCCUAUGGAUCUCAACGUUCAGCUUCGUGCCUCUGAUGGUGACCCUCUUCCUAAUUCCACUUGCUAUCGUCACCUUGUUGGCAGCCUUGUCUAUCUUGCUGUUAUGCGUCCUGACAUCUCCUAUCAUGUCCACAUCCUAAGUCAGUUUGUUUCAGCCCCCACCUCUGUCCACUAUAGUCACCUCCUCUGUGUUCUACGCUAUCUUCAUGGCACGAUCUCUCAUCGCCUUUUCUUUCCUCGCUCCAGUUCUCUUGAGCUCCAGGCUUACUCUGAUGCUACCUAGGCUAGUGAUCCCUCUGAUCAACGCUCGCUGUCUGCUUAUUGUGUUUUUCUUGGUGGCUCUCUUAUUGCCUGGAAGAAAAGAAACAGACUGCAGUUUCUCGCUCGAGUAGAGAGGCCGAGUUGCGCUAUGUUGAUGGCUGAGGUGAUCUGGUUACGGUGGCUACUUGAGGAUUUUGGUGUGUCUGCUGCUACAUUGACUCCCUUACUAUCAGACAGUACUGGUGCUAUCAGUAUUGCGCGUGACCCGGUGAAGCAUGAGCUCACCAAGCACAUCGGUGUGGAUGCCCACUUUGUGCGUGCUGCUAUGCAGGAUCAGACUCUCGCUCUUCACUAUGUGCCCAUGUGAGCAUACUGACCACACUCGCAUUCAAAGUUUCAAACUUGUCAUCUCCAAGACCUUGUGUUCUCAACACCAGCUUCACCCUGCAACAUGUUAUCAAUUAACAACAUUAGAAGUAGUCCCGAACCAAACUGAAAUUAUUGAUCAGAAACCACCAGAAGCAAAUUUUACUACUCACCGAGCACCCACACACUAUCUCCUGGAUGCACUUUGCCAUCUCAGCAUAUAGCCGGCUCUUCCCAUACCAGAUGCCAAACCCCUUCUCCCAUGAGUACAGAUUAUAGAUGUUGUAGACCUCUCCCUAAGAGUUGAAAGUAGGACCAAGAACUGGUGUGAUCACGUUUUCAGCUAGGUUCUCUGCGAGCAUUUGGCUGCCUUCUCGAUCGCACUAAUACGAUUUGGGCAUGGUGUUCUGCUAGGAGCAGCGGCACCAAUCCUAAGCCCGCAAAACAGCUACAUAUAGCAUCAAUUUUACAGAUGUAGAGAGUAGUCAACCUGCAAACACAGGCACAUAUGGCAUGAAUUUUCUGAAUGCAGAGAGGAAUUAGCCUGCAAAUAUGAAUUUUCUGAAUGCACAGAGCAAUCAGCCUGCAAACACAAGCACAUAAAGCAUGAAUUUUCACAAUGCAGUGAGUAAUCAACACUUGUUCUAACUGUACAAUUUCUUCAGUCAUGUCUAGGUUUGUUUCCUAAAUCCCUGAAUAUAUGAUGGGAUGCAGCUUGUUCUUGACUAACCCGUGUUCCAUCCCGGCGCUUGGGGAUUCAUCUUCAUCGUUGAUAGCUCUGGCGGCGGCUGUCCCUUUUGUCGGCUGCCGCCUCCUUCGCCAAGAAGAUUUGUGCUUUGCCCCUGUCCGCCAUCCAAUAUUGCACCGCCUCGCGCUCCGCCUGAUGUGCCACCUCAAAAUCCGUCACCGCAGGGCCAUUCACAACCAUAGGGGCGGGCACAAAGUCUUCCUAGCUCAAGGAGAGUGGAUCUGAAACUUGGAAAAAAGGCACCCUCUGCAUCAGCUAAGCCAGAGGCCUAAAAAUGGAGAUGGCAUCGCCAGAAAAGCAAAGAUCCAAGUACCUGCCGACCGUCUUGAUACGUCUCCAACGUAUCUAUAAUUUUUGAUUGCUUCAUGCUAUAUUAUCUACUAUUUUGAAUGUUUAUGGGCUUUAUUAUACACUUUUAUAUCAUUUUUGGGACUAACCUAUUAACCCAGAGCCCAGCGCCAGUUUCUAUUUUUACCCUGUUUUAGGGUUUCGAAGAAAAGGAAAAUCAAAUGGAGUCCAAUUGACCUGAAACUUCACGGAACUCAUUUUUGGAAGGAAAGAAGCCCAGAAGACUUGGAGUGCACGUCGGGGGAUCUGCGAGGAGGUCACGAGGCAGGGGGGCGCCCACCCCCCUGGGUGCGCCCUCCACCCUCGUGAGCCCCUCGUGCCCCCCUGACGUACUUCUUCCGCCUAUAUAUCUCCAUAUACCCUAAAAACAUCCGUGAGCACAAUAGAUCGGGAGUUCCGCCGCCAGAAGCCUCAGUAGCCACCAAAAACAAGCUAGUCCCGUUCCGGCACCCUGCCGGAGGGGGCAAUCCUUCCCCAGUGGCCAUCUUCAUCAUCCCGGUGCACUCCAUGACGAGGAGGGAGUAGUUCUCCCUCGGGUUUGAGGGUAUGUACCAGUAGCUAUGUGUUUGAUCUCUCUCUCUCUCGUGUUCUUGAGAUGAUACGAUCUUAAUGUAUCGCGAGCUUUGCUAUUAUAUUUGGAUCCUAUGAUGUUUCUUCCCCCUCUACUCUCUUUUAAUGAAUUGAGUUUCCCCUUUGAAGUUAUCUUAUCAGAUUGAGUCUUUAAAGAUUUGAGAACACUUGAUGUAUGUCUUGCCGUGGAUAUCUAUGGUGACAAUGGGAUAUCACGUGAUUCACUUGAUGUAUGUUUUGGUGAUCAACUUGCGGGUUCCGCCCAUGAACCUAUGCAUAGGGGUUGGCACACGUUUUCGUCGUGAUUCUCCGGUAGAAACUUUGGGGCACUCUUUGAGGUCCUUUGUGUUGGUUGAAUAGAUGAAUCUGAGAUUGUGUGAUGCAUAUCGUAUAAUCAUACCCACGGAUACUUGAGGUGACAUUGGAGUAUCUAGGUGAUAUUAGGGUUUUGGUUGAUUUGUGUCUUAAGGUGUUAUUCUAGUACGAACUCUAGGGCUGUUUGUGACACUUAUAGGAAUAGCCCAAUGGAUUGAUUGGAAAGAAUAACUUUGAGGUGGUUUCGUACCCUACCAUAAUCUCUUCGUUCGUUCUCCACUAUUAGUGACUUUGGAGUGACUCUUUGUUGCAUGUUGAGGGAUAAUUAUGCGAUCCAACUAUGUUAGUAUUGUUGAGGGAACUUGCACUAGUGAAAGUAUGAACCCUAGGCCCUAUUUCCUAUCAUUGCACUACCAUUUACACUCACUUUUAUCAUUAGUUACAUUUCUGUUUUUAUAAUUUAAGAUUACAAAUACCUUUAUCUGCCAUCCAUAUUGCACUUGUAUCACCAUCUCUUCGCCGAACUAGUGCACCUAUACAAUUUACCAUUGUAUUGGGUGUGUUGGGGACACAAGAGACUCUUUGUUAUUUGGUUGCAGGGUUGCUUGAGAGAUACCAUCUUCAUCCUACGCCUCCUACAGAUUGAUAAACGUUAGGUCAUCCACUUGAGGGAAAUUUGCUACUGUCCUACAAACCUCUGCACUUGGAGGCCCAACAACGUCUACAAGAACAAGGUUGUGUAGUAGACAUCAAGCUCUUUUCUGGCGCCGUUGCCGGGGAGGUUAGCGCUUGAAGGUAUAUCUUUAGAUCUUGCAAUCGAGUCUUUUAGUUUCUUGUUUUAUCACUAGUUUAGUUUAUAAAAGAAAAUUACAAAACAAUGGAAUUAAGUUUGUCUCAUACGCUUCACCUUUUUAAUAUUUUUCGUAUGUAUGAUGGAAAGGAAAAUUGUGCUCAAGUGCUAGAAGAAGAAAUCUAUAAAAUGUUUGGCACUAAAUCUUUGAAUGAUGAGCAUGAUUGCAAUUUUGUUAGUAUGAAUUCUUUGAAUGUCCAUGAUACUAAUGAUGAUAGCACUAGUUAUGAUGAAGAUGUCUCCUAUAAACAUGUCAAUUUUUGUGGAAUGCAUUGGGUUUGUAAGUACACACCAAAUAGAGAAGAUAGAUAUUGCAAGAAGCAUAAGUAGUUAUAAACUAAAUUGUUGCAAGAAGAGCUAGAUGAUUGUGCUGAAAAUUUAAAUUAUCUUGGCCAUACUUGUGAGCUUUGUAAUGAACGUGGUCAUUUAAUUAUCCGAUGCAAAUUGUUUCAUGAUCUAAUCGUGUCCAAAAAUUGUGAUGACUUGAUUUCUCUUGCACAUUAUAAUGAACUUAGUUUGCUUAUGGGCUACGAAGAAAUGAAAUGUAUAACUAAGGAUAUUCCAAAAUUUUCCCUUGAUAGAGUUCUUCAUUUUGACCUAGAGGAAAUUUAUAUGCGGUGAAUUGCAUUGAAAAUCCUGAUAUUGCCAACUACAUAAAGAAAAUAAAAACAAAUAGAAGAUGAAUAGAAUACUAAUGAAAGGGAAGAGACUUCCCAAUAUCCUCCUAUUAUUCUUAUGAUGAAUCAGGUAACGAGGAGGAGCCUCCUAUUCAACCAAUCUCAUUAAUAAGGAGCUCCAAAAAGAGGAUUGAACCCACAUAUGAUGUGGUGAAGAAGAAGAAAAGAAAAAGGAAGAGAGGUAAAAAGAUAUCUCUCCCAAAUAAUGCUGCUCCUAUUACUAUUGUGCCUCAUGAAAAUAUAAUUGUGGAAGAUAAUGAUGCUUCUUAUGAUCUUGAAAAUCUUUUUGGCACUUACGUGGAAGAAUAUGAUAAUUGCUAUACUAUUGGUGCUAUCCAUACUAUUAAUGAUGAGAGUGAUUAUGCUUAUAAUAUGAAAAUGCCCAAGCUUGGGGAUGCUAUGUUUGAUGAAGAUGAUGUUUUUGGUAAUAUAUUUACUGCAAUUAAUGUUUGUCCCAAGCUUGGGGAUGCUACGCUUAAUGAAGAUGAUAUUUUUAGUAUCCCUAGUUUUGAUAUGCAAAUUUAUAAUGAUAACAACAUGCCUCCUACUUAUGAUAAUUAUUGUGAUGAUACAUAUGCUAUAAAAAGUAGUGAGGAUUAUAUUUAUAAAACUUGUCAAUAUUAUGGUUACCCAUUUUCUGAACAUUACUCCUUUAAUGUGGAAACAAUUUAUAGUAUCCAAGUCUCUUAUGAUACUCCCACUAUCCCAAAUGAGAAGAAUUUUGCUUAUGUGGAGAGUAGUAAAAUUUCUAUGCUUGUAGAUCAUGAAAAGAAUGCUUUAGGUUCUGGUUAUAUUGUUGAAUUCAUUCAUGAUGCUACUGAAAACUAUUAUGAGGGAGGAACAUAUGCUUGUAGGAAUUGCAAUAAUACCAAGUUUCCUCUCUAUGUGCUUAAAGUUUUGGAGUUAUGCUUGUUUUGCCUUCCUAUGCUAGUUGAUUAUUGUUCCCAUAAGUUAUUUUCUCACAAAAUCCCUAUGAAUAGGAAUCAUGUUAGACUUAAAUGUGCUAGUCAUAUUCUUCAUGAUGCUCUCUUUAUGUUUCAAUUCUUAUCCUUUAUGUGAGCAUCAUUGAAAUCAUCAUGCCUAGCUAGGGGCGUUAAACGAUAGCGCUUGUUGGGAGGCAACCAAAUUUUAUUUUUGUUCCUUGCUUGUUGUUCCUGUUUAGUAAUAAAUAAUUAAUCUAGCCUCUGUUUAGAUGUGGUUUUAUGCUUUUAAUUAGUGUUUGUGCCAAGUAGAACCUUUGGGAAGACUCGGGGAAAGUCUUGUUGAUCAUGCUGUAAAAAAACAGAAACUUUAGCGCUCACGAGAAUUGCUGUCAUGUUUAUUUGGAAAGUGAUAUUUAGUUAAUUAUUUUUGAAGAUGAUUAAUAGAUAAAUUCCUCAGGUCCAGCAAUUUAUUUGAGAAUUUUAUGAGUUCCAUAAGUGUACGUUUGAUUCAGAUUACUACAGACUGUUCUGUUUUUGACAGAUUCUGUUUUUUGUGUGUUGUUUGCUUAUUUUGAUGAAUCUAUGGCUAGUAAAAUAGUUUAUAAACCAUAGAGAAGUUGGAAUACAGUAGGUUUAACACCAAUAUAAAUAAAGAAUGAGUUUAUUACAGUACCUUGAAGUGGUGAUUUAUUUUAUUAUACUAACGGACCUUACGAGUUUUCUGUUAAGUUUUGUGUUGUGAAGUUUUCAAGUUUUGGGUAAGGAUUCGAUGGACUAUGGAAUAAGGAGUGGCAAGAGCCUAAGCUUGGGGAUGCCCGAGGCACCCCAAGGUAAUAUUCAAGGAUAGCCAAGAGCCUAAGCUUGGGGAUGCCCUGGAAGGCAUCCCCUCUUCGUCUUCGUUCAUCGGUAACUUUACUUGGAGCUAUAUUUUUAUUCGCCACAUGAUAUGUGUUUUGCUUGGAGCGUCAUUUUAUUUACUUUUGUUUUGCUUGCUGUUUGAAUAAAAUACCAAGAUCUGAAAUUAUUAAAUGUUAGAGAGUCUUCACAUAGUUGCAUAAUUAUUCGACUACUCAUUGAUCUUCGCUUAUAUCUUUCGGAGUAGUUUGUUGUUUGCUCUAGUUCUUCACUUAUAUCUUUUAGAGCAUGGUGGUAGUUUUAUUUUGAAGAAAUAGAUGAACUCUCGUGCUUCACUUAUAUUAUUUUGUGAGUCCUAAAUAGCAAGGUAAUUUGCUUAAAAUCCUAAUAUGCUAGGUAUACAAGAUUAGUAAAAACUUUCAUAUAGAGUAUUGAAUACUAAGAGAAGUUUGAUGCUUGAUGAUUGUUUUGAGAUAUGGAGGUAAUAAUAUCAAAGUCGUGCUAGUUGAGUAAAUAUGAAUUUGAGAAGUGCUUGUGUUGAAGUUUUCAAGUCCCGUAGCAUGCACGUAUGGUAAAUGUUGUGUAACAAAUUUGAAACAUGAGGUGUUAUUUGAUUGUCCUCCUUAUGAGUGGCGGUCGGGGACGAGCGAUGGUCUUUUCCUACCAAUCUAUCCCCCUAGGAGCAUGCGUGUAGUGCCGAGGUUUUUGAUGACUUGUAGACUUUUGCAAUAAGUAUGUGAGUUCUUUAUGACCAAUGUUGAGUCCAUGGAUUAUACGCACUCUCACCCUUCCAUCCUUGCUAGACUCUUCGGUACCGUGCAUUGCCCUUUCUCACAUCGAGAGUUGGCGCAAACUUCGCCGGUGCAUCCAAACCCCGUGAUAUGAUACGCUCUUUCACACAUAAACCUCCUUAUAUAUUCUUCAAAACAGCCACCAGACCUACCUAUUAUGGCAUUUCCAUAGCCAUUCCGAGAUAUAUUGCCAUGCAACUUUCCAUCAUUCCGUUCAUCAUGACACAUUCAUAAUUGUCAUAUUGCUUAGCAUGAUCAUGUAGUUGACAUUGUAUUUGUGGCAAAGCCACCGUUCAUAAUUAUUUCAUACAUGUCACUCUUGAUUCAUUGCAUAUCCCGGUACACCGCCGGAGGCAUUCAUAUAGAGUCAUGUUUGUUCUAGUAUCGAGUUGUAAUCAUUGAGUUGUAAAUAAAUAGAAGUGUGAUGAUCAUCAUUAUUAGAGAAUUGUCCCAAGUGAGGAAUAAAAAAAGAGAAAGGCCAUAAAAAAAGAGAAGGCCCAAAAAAAGAGAAAGGCCAUAAAAAAAAGGCCCAAAAAAAUGAGAGAAAAAGAGAGAAGCGACAAUGUUACUAUCCUUUUACCACACUUGUGCUUCAAAGUAGCACCAUGAUCUUCAUAGUAGAGAGUCUCUCAUGUUAUCACUUUCAUAUACUAGUGGGAAUUUUUCAUUAUAGAACUUGGCUUGUAUAUUCCAACAAUGGGCCUCCUCAAGUGCCCUAGGUCUUCAUGAGCAAGCAAGUUGGAUGCGCACCCACUAGUUUCUUUUGUUGAGCUUUCAUACAUUUAUAGCUCUAGUGCAUCCGUUGAAUGGCAAUCCCUACUCCUUGCAUUAACAUCAAUCGGUGGGCAUCUCCAUAGCCCAUUGAUUAGCCUCGUUGAUGUGAGACUUUCUCCUUUUUGUCUUCUCCACAUAACCCCCCUCAUUAUAUUCUAUUCCACCCAUAGUGUUAUAUCCAUGGCUCAUGCUCAUGUAUUGCGUGAAAGUUUAUGAGUUUGAGAUUACUAAAGUAUGAAACAAUUGCUUGGCUUGUCAUCGGGGUUGUGCAUGAUGAGAGCAUUCUUGUGUGACGAAAAUGAAACAUGACUAAACUAAAUGAUUUUAUAGGGAUGAACUUUCUUUGGCCAUGUUAUUUUGAGAAGACAUAAUUGCUUAGUUAGUAUGCUUGAAGUAUUAUCAUUUUUAUGUCAAUAUGAGCUUUUGUCUUGAAUCUUGUGUAUCUGAAUAUUCAUACCACAAUUAAGAAGAAUCACACUGAAAUUAUGCCAAGUAGCACUCCGCAUCAAAAAUUCUAUUUUUAUCAUUUACCUACUCGAGGACGAGGAGGAAUUAAGCUUGGGGAUGCUGAUACGUCUCCAACGUAUCUAUAAUUUUUGAUUGCUCCAUGCUAUAUUAUCUACUAUUUUGAAUGUUUAUGGGCUUUAUUAUACACUUUUAUAUCAUUUUUGGGACUAACCUAUUAACCCAGAGCCUAGUGCCAGUUUUUGUUUUUACCCUGUUUUAGGGUUUCGAAGAAAAGGAAAAUAAAACGGAGUCCAAUUGACCUGAAACUUCACGGAACUCAUUUUUGGAAGGAAAGAAGCCUAGAAGACUUGGAGUGCACGUCAGGGGAUCUGCGAGGAGGUCACGAGGCAGGGGGCGCGCCCACCCCCCUGGGCGCGCCCACCACCCUCGUGAGCCCCUCGUGGCCCCCCUGACGUACUUCUUCCGCCUAUAUAUCUCCAUAUACCCUAAAAACAUCAGUGAGCAUAAUAGAUCGGGAGUUCCGCCACCAGAAGCCUCCGUAGCCACCGAAAACCAAUCUAGACCUGUUCCAGCAACCUCCUGGAGGGGGCAAUCCUUCCCCGGUGGCCAUCUUCAUCAUCCCGGUGCUCUCCAUGACGAGGAAGGAGUAGUUCUCCCUCGGGGCUGAGGGUAUGUACCAGUAGCUAUGUGUUUGAUCUCUCUCUCUCUCUCUCAUGUUCUUGAGAUGAUACGAUCUUGAUGUAUCGUGAGCUUUGCUAUUAUAUUUGGAUCCUAUGAUGUUUCUUCCCCCCUCUACUCUCUUGUAAUGAAUUGAGUUUCCCCUUUGAAGUUAUCUUAUCGGAUUGAGUCUUUAAAGAUUUGAGAACACUUGAUGUAUGUCUUGCCGUGGAUAUCUGUGGUGACAAUGGGAUAUCACGUGAUUCACUUGAUGUAUGUUUUGGUGAUCAACUUGCGGGUUCCGCCCAUGAACCUAUGCAUAGGGGUUGGCACACGUUUUCGUCGUGAUUCUCCGACAGAAACUUUGGGGCACUCUUUGAGGUCCUUUGUGUUGGUUGAAUAGAUGAAUCUGAGAUUGUGUGAUGCAUAUCGUAUAAUCAUAACCACGGAUACUUGAGGUGACAUUGGAGUAUCUAGGUGACAUUAGGGUUUUGGUUGAUUUGUGUCUUAAGGUGUUAUUCUAGUACGAACUCUAGGGCUGUUUGUGACACUUAUAGGAAUAGCCCAACGGAUUGAUUGGAAAGAAUAACUUUGAGGUGGUUUCGUACCCUACCAUAAUCUCUUUGUUUGUUCUCCGCUAUUAGUGACUUUGGAGUGACUCUUUGUUGCAUGUUGAGGGAUAGUUAUGUGAUCCAAUUAUGUUAGUAUUGUUGAGGGAACUUGCACUAGUGAAAGUAUGAACCCUAGGCCUUAUUUCCCAUCAUUGCAAUACCAUUUACCCUCACUUUUAUCAUUAGUUACCUUUCUGUUUUUAUAAUUUCAGAUUACAAAUACCUUUAUCUACCAUCCAUAUUGCACUUGUAUCACCAUCUCUUCGCCGAACUAGUGCACCUAUACAAUUUACCAUUGUAUUGGGUGUGUUGAGGACACAAGAGACUCUUUGUUAUUUGGUUGCAGGGUUGCCUGAGAGAGACCAUCUUCAUCCUACACCUCCUACGGAUUGAUAAAACUUAGGUCAUCCACUUGAGGGAAAUUUGCUACUGUCCUACAAACCUCUGCACUUGGAGGCCCAACAACGUCCACAAGAAGAAGGUUGUGUAGUAGACAUCACGUCUGCAUCAGAAAUACCAUUGUUCGUGGCCGUCGGCGUUCCUGGCCUCUAUCCUACAGUCCUCAGCUUCCAAAUGAUCCAUGCACUGGGCGAGAAAACUCUAGCUCCUGCAACCAGUACACGGGAAGUGAACUUCCCGAGCCACGGAUCAGAUGGCACAACCGAUUCUGAUCCAUGACUCACCUCGCCGACAGUGGGCGGCCGUCUACCACCCAGCACAGCCGCGUACGUAUUCCCCAACAGUAUUCAUUUUCUGGCACACCGCAACCGCACGUAUAAAAAAUGGCUCCAAUCCAGAAGCACUAACCGACGACCUCGAUAUCGAGCACAUCUGAGCUCGCGCUCAGUUACUCCGCGUCCGACACGAAAUCUUAUUUACAUACCAGGAAAAUGCUUUUGUUGUACAAAACACAGUGUCACAAAAAUAUAUCCCAAAGAAGCUUGCUUAUUUUCACAUGGCCUGUUUAUAUUUCUAGUAACUAAAACAUCGUGGCAAUGAUCAAGAAAAUAAGACAAUAAAGCUAUAACCAGAUUGUUCAACAAACCUCUAUAGCUUGCAUAUACACCAAUGAAAGGUAGUAAAAAAGAAGGCGCUCAGCAAGCACAAUUCAGAAUUAGAAGUGCACUUAACCGACGGGAUCAUGGUACUCAACAACGAUAUUUCUGUACAAACCGGAUUAGAACCCCAUUUAACUGAAGAAAGACAUGUUAAUGGAUCAAUAAAGCCUUACAAACAUGGAUAUGAACCAAUGGACAUGAGCACUCAAUCAAGCAUGAAACAAACCAGCAGGAUAUUGCGGUACAAACUGUAAUAAAACCACAUUUUUUCUGAUGAGCUCCAAAGGAAAACCCCACAAACUGGCUAGCAAUCAGAACAGAUCUAACCUUGCCUCGACUAUGGACCAAAAAAAACCAAAACAUGGGUAGCGGAGUAGUGACGACACCAUCCAUCCAUGUACCUCACUGAUGAGACUUGAAAACUGAAAUGACCCUGAUAAAUAGAGUGUCCUGGUGGUAAGGAUGAGACAUGUUCAUUAUCGUAUUUUUCAGGUUUAAGAGCAUAUUAUAAGAUGAGAGCAUCAAUAUUGUCAUUAUUAAUUAAUGGUUAGUGCAUUUGCAAGUAAAAUUGUUGAAGCCAUGAGGUGUAUAGCUACAUAGGACUUUUUUGGUAGCUCCAGAUUGGCAGGUAUUGCAUUUGAAAUACGCUAGGUGUAUUAGUUUAAGGCACCAUCAUCAAGAUAACAUCAUUCAUGUGUUCUCUGGUAUCUUUGCCAUCAAAUUAUAUGCAUGGGUUUUCUAGGACGUCCAUAUUUGCAUCUCAAAUGUUGAUGUUCUGCCCGAUCACAAUGAUUGCUUUAACCUAGACUAAUGAUAACCUUGCAUGUCAUGUAAGGAAGAAGAGUGAAGCGGAUACGCAUAAGAAUGCCUACCAUUUACAUAUCUAUACCGAAAACAAAAGUAUGAGUGAUAGUAAUAGGACGCAUACAAAAGCUAUGACUCAAUCCUUGGCACGAGUUCCCGAUUUAAACCAAGUGUUAUUUGUAUAGCAAAGGACUUUAUUUUCAUAUACAAUUAUUAUAUAUCAAUCUUUAAUGUGGCAGAACCAUAAUUUCAGAACAUAACACCAAUUAGUGUGCAUUUCAGCCACCUUCAGCAUUGUAAAUCAAGAUAAACAGUAGAGACCAAGAUAAACAAUAAGUAACGCCAAAAUACUGAUCAUCAACUUAGUGUUUUGUUAAUCGUUCUAUACCAAGCAUCAAUGCUAUUUACGCUCUUAUCAUAACUGAUAAAAAGAUGCAUCCUUGGACAUGCUUAUUAGUUUUACACUCAAAUAGAACUUAUUAGGCCAAUAAACCGUACACUAUGAUUUCUUAGGUACUUAGAAACCUCUCAUAGGUUAAUCAGAAGCUCUUUUAUUGAUUUAGAUGUAGUAACCAUGUCAAUGUGUACCUUUUGGCAAGUUCAUGCAUUAUUGCAUCAGCUUUGAGGUCCAUCAAUCAAAACAAAUCCCAAGCACAUGAAUUGAGUGAACACCUGACAGAACAAAGGAAUAGGUGAGUGUUAUCUAUACAAAAACUAAGACAAUGAAGUAGGAGGGAUAAUUAUUUACAAUAUAAGAAAGGGUGGAGUAUAAUAUCUCUACUCGACUCCGAAUUAGCAAAAUAAGAAGACAUGGAAAGGCACUUGAAAAACAUCAUAGCGAAGUUCUUGGGGCACUUGAAAAAACAUUUCGAUCAACAAAACGGAGUCCUCAAAGUGAGAAUUAAUCUGUCCAAUCUACAUGCAAGAUUACAGUUUUGAUCUAAACAACUAAACCCAAAUCAACAAUAUAAACCUAAAUGCAAAGACAUUGGAUGACAAAAAGGCGUGCAUAUCUGAACGACAAUGGGCUUCUUCAUAACUUCAAAUCACCCUCGCAUGCUUUGGUUCGAUACUCAGCCACUGACAGGCCCAAUGAUUCUAAAAGGACAUCCAACACCAUUCUAUAGGGGAUUUUCACCAUUGGGGGAGUAGCCUGUGGUUUAAAAUGGAUGUUAUUUAUUUGCACAGUACAAAAAGAAUGUUAGGCAUAGCCUAAAACGGCCUAUUUAUUUGACACCCAAUACAUAGAGU